AAACCCUGACGCAGCAACGCCGCGUGGGUGAUGAAGGUCUUCGGAUUGUAAAGCCCUGUUUUCUAGGACGAUAAUGACGGUACUAGAGGAGGAAGCCACGGCUAACUACGUGCCAGCAGCCGCGGUAAUACGUAGGUGGCGAGCGUUGUCCGGAUUUACUGGGCGUAAAGGGUGCGUAGGCGGAUGUUUAAGUGGGAUGUGAAAUCCCCGGGCUUAACCUGGGGGCUGCAUUCCAAACUGGAUAUCUAGAGUGCAGGAGAGGAAAGCGGAAUUCCUAGUGUAGCGGUGAAAUGCGUAGAGAUUAGGAAGAACACCAGUGGCGAAGGCGGCUUUCUGGACUGUAACUGACGCUGAGGCACGAAAGCGUGGGUAGCAAACAGGAUUAGAUACCCUGGUAGUCCACGCCGUAAACGAUGGAUACUAGGUGUAGGGGGUAUCAACUCCCCCUGUGCCGCAGUUAACACAAUAAGUAUCCCGCCUGGGGAGUACGGUCGCAAGAUUAAAACUCAAAGGAAUUGACGGGGGCCCGCACAAGCAGCGGAGCAUGUGGUUUAAUUCGAAGCAACGCGAAGAACCUUACCUGGACUUGACAUCCCUUGCAUAGCCUAGAGAUAGGUGAAGCCCUUCGGGGCAAGGAGACAGGUGGUGCAUGGUUGUCGUCAGC
rnacentral:rRNA from 1 species